rnacentral:rRNA from 1 species
UUGGAGGGCAAGUCUGGUGCCAGCAGCCGCGGUAAUUCCAGCUCCAAUAGCGUAUAUUAAAGUUGCUGCAGUUAAAAAGCUCGUAGUUGAAUUUCGGGACCAAUAUGUCGGUCGUGCCUCGGUACGUACUGGCAUCGUUGGUUUCUCCCUUCUGACGAACCAUGAUGUCAUUUAUUUGGUGUCGUGGGGAAUCAGGACUGUUACUUUGAAAAAAUUAGAGUGUUUAAAGCAGGCUCACGCUUGAAUACAUUAGCAUGGAAUAAUGAAAUAGGACGUUUGAUUCUACUUUGUUGGUUUCUAGGAUCGACGUAAUGAUUAAUAGGGAUAGUUGGGGGCAUUAGUAUUCAAUUGUCAGAGGUGAAAUUCUUGGAUUUAUUGAAGACUAACUACUGCGAAAGCAUUUGCCAAGGAUGUUUUCAUUAAUCAAGAACGAAAGUUAGGGGAUCGAAGACGAUCAGAUACCGUCGUAGUCUUAACCAUAAACUAUGCCGACUAGGGAUCGGAUGAUGUUAAUUUUUUAAUGACUCAUUCGGCGCCUUACGGGAAAC